rnacentral:rRNA from 1 species
UACGAAGGGGGCUAGCGUUGCUCGGAAUGACUGGGCGUAAAGGGCGCGUAGGCGGUUCGUACAGUCAGACGUGAAAUUCCCGGGCUCAACCUGGGGGCUGCGUUUGAUACGUGCGGGCUUGAGUUCGGAAGAGGGUCGUGGAAUUCCCAGUGUAGAGGUGAAAUUCGUAGAUAUCGGGAGGAACACCAGUGGCGAAGGCGGCGAUCUGGGCAGAUACUGACGCUGAGGUGCGAAAGCGUGGGGAGCAAACAGG